AGAUUGAACGCUGGCGGAAUGCUUUACACAUGCAAGUCGAACGGCAGCACGGGGGCAACCCUGGUGGCGAGUGGCGAACGGGUGAGUAAUACAUCGGAACGUGCCCAGUCGUGGGGGAUAACUACGCGAAAGCGUAGCUAAUACCGCAUACGAUCUACGGAUGAAAGCGGGGGAUCGCAAGACCUCGCGCGAUUGGAGCGGCCGAUGGCAGAUUAGGUAGUUGGUGGGGUAAAGGCUCACCAAGCCGUCGAUCUGUAGCUGGUCUGAGAGGACGACCAGCCACACUGGGACUGAGACACGGCCCAGACUCCUACGGGAGGCAGCAGUGGGAAUUUUGGACAAUGGGCGCAAGCCUGAUCCAGCCAUUCCGCGUGCAGGAUGAAGGCCUUCGGUUGUAACUGUCUUUAGUACGGAACGAAAGGUCUUACUCUAAUACAGAGAGCUCAUGACGUACCGUAAGAAUAAGACACCGGACUAACUACGUAGCC
rnacentral:rRNA from 1 species